GAUGAACGCUGGCGGCGUGCCUAAUACAUGCAAGUCGAGCGAACAGACGAGGAGCUUGCUCCUCUGACGUUAGCGGCGGACGGGUGAGUAACACGUGGAUAACCUACCUAUAAGACUGGGAUAACUUCGGGAAACCGGAGCUAAUACCGGAUAAUAUAUUGAACCGCAUGGUUCAAUAGUGAAAGACGGCCUUGCUGUCACUUAUAGAUGGAUCCGCGCCGUAUUAGCUAGUUGGUAAGGUAACGGCUUACCAAGGCAACGAUACGUAGCCGACCUGAGAGGGUGAUCGGCCACACUGGAACUGAGACACGGUCCAGACUCCUACGGGAGGCAGCAGUAGGGAAUCUUCCGCAAUGGGCGAAAGCCUGACGGAGCAACGCCGCGUGAGUGAUGAAGGUCUUCGGAUCGUAAAACUCUGUUAUCAGGGAAGAACAAAUGUGUAAGUAACUGUGCACAUCUUGACGGUACCUGAUCAGAAAGCCACGGCUAACUACGUGC
rnacentral:rRNA from 1 species